AGAAAAAUCAGUAGAAAAAAGAAGCCGCUAACUUACUUUUUAUGCGGUUAAAAUCCGUAUUUUUUCUU
rnacentral:tRNA from 1 species